UACAGAGGGCCCAAGCGUUGUUCGGAUUCAUUGGGCGUAAAGGGUGCGUAGGCGGCGCGGUAAGUCGGGUGUGAAAUCUCGGGGCUUAACUCCGAAACUGCAUUCGAUACUGCCGUGCUUGAGGACUGGAGAGGAGACUGGAAUUUACGGUGUAGCGGUGAAAUGCGUAGAUAUCGGAAGGAACACCAGUGGCGAAGGCGGGUCUCUGGACAGUUCCUGACGCUGAGGCACGAAGGCCAGGGGAGCAAACGGG
rnacentral:rRNA from 1 species